CCUACGGGAGGCAGCAGUGAGGAAUAUUGGUCAAUGGGCGCGAGCCUGAACCAGCCAAGUCGCGUGAGGGAAGACGGUCCUAUGGAUUGUCAACCUCUUUUGUCGGGGAGCAAAAGACGCCACGCGUGGCGUUCCGAGAGUACCCGAAGAAAAAGCAUCGGCUAACUCCGUGCCAGCAGCCGCGGUAAUACGGAGGAUGCGAGCGUUAUCCGGAUUUAUUGGGUUUAAAGGGUGCGCAGGCGGAAGAUCAAGUCAGCGGGAAAAUUGAGAGGCUCAACCUCUUCGAGCCGUUGAAACUGGUUUUCUUGAGUGGGCGAGAAGUAUGCGGAAUGCGUGGUGUAGCGGUGAAAUGCAUAGAUAUCACGCAGAACUCCGAUUGCGAAGGCAGCAUACCGGCGCCCAACUGACGCUGAAGCACGAAAGCGUGGGUAUCGAACAGGAUUAGAUACCCUGGUAGUC
rnacentral:rRNA from 1 species